GUUCCUGCUCGAAGUUCUGCUGC
rnacentral:miRNA from 1 species